UAGGGAAUCUUCGGCAAUGGACGGAAGUCUGACCGAGCAACGCCGCGUGAGUGAAGAAGGUUUUCGGAUCGUAAAGCUCUGUUGUAAGAGAAGAACGAGUGUGAGAGUGGAAAGUUCACACUGUGACGGUAUCUUACCAGAAAGGGACGGCUAACUACGUGCCAGCAGCCGCGGUAAUACGUAGGUCCCGAGCGUUGUCCGGAUUUAUUGGGCGUAAAGCGAGCGCAGGCGGUUAGAUAAGUCUGAAGUUAAAGGCUGUGGCUUAACCAUAGUACGCUUUGGAAACUGUUUAACUUGAGUGCAAGAGGGGAGAGUGGAAUUCCAUGUGUAGCGGUGAAAUGCGUAGAUAUAUGGAGGAACACCGGUGGCGAAAGCGGCUCUCUGGCUUGUAACUGACGCUGAGGCUCGAAAGCGUGGGGAGCAAACAGGAUUAGAUACCCUGGUAGUCCACGCCGUAAACGAUGAGUGCUAGGUGUUAGACCCUUUCCGGGGUUUAGUGCCGCAGCUAACGCAUUAAGCACUCCGCCUGGGGAGUACGACCACAAGGUUG
rnacentral:rRNA from 1 species